CCCGGUGCUGCCCCCAUCUCAUCUGUCAUUUGUCAUCUCUCCCCUCACGCCAAAGCUAUGGAAAUACGAUUGGAAUUAGCUAGCUAGGCAGGUUACGGUUGAGGCUUGUAGAAGUUACGGUUGAAGCUAAGGGAGCCACAGCAACCGGCACUGGAGGACGGCGCAGGCUGGUAAAAGGUCAGGGCGGCCAGGCUGCUAAGGAGGACAGUUGCCCAGAGCAGGGGACCGCGGCACCAACGCCGGCAGCCUGAUUCGGUGCCUCCCAUGGCGGGAGGAAGGAGAGAGCUCGGAAGACAGCAGUCAGCAGACAGCAACGGUGGAGAAAAAAACAGCCGCCCCUUGGAAGGACUGGGCUGUGCGGCGUUGGAGGACGGGGUUUGACACCGCCCCAAAAUAUAUCAUUUACAGGGGCGCGUGACACCACCACCCAUGCCUAAGAAUGGGGUUAGUUUUCAAAGGCGGGUGAUGGCGUCACUGCCUCUACAAAUGUAUUUCCAGGUGUACCAUAGAAGAUGAGAAUUAUAAAAGCAAGCAUAAGAAAAGACGACAAGCCAGAGACAUACAAGGAUGGAGAAUCGCAAAUUGUUACCGCUUAAA